UACGGGGGGAGCAAGCGUUGUUCGGAAUUACUGGGCGUAAAGGGCUCGUAGGCGGCCAACUAAGUCAGACGUGAAAUCCCUCGGCUUAACCGGGGAACUGCGUCUGAUACUGGAUGGCUUGAGUUUGGGAGAGGGAUGCGGAAUUCCAGGUGUAGCGGUGAAAUGCGUAGAUAUCUGGAGGAACACCGGUGGCGAAGGCGGCGAUCCUGGACCAACACUGACGCUGAGUGAGCGAAAGCCAGGGGAGCAAAACAGG
rnacentral:rRNA from 1 species